rnacentral:misc_RNA from 1 species
CCAUUAAUUUAAUUUGAUAUUCAAAGUUUGCCCUUAAUUUUCAUUAUUUUUUCCUCUUUUAUUUUCUCUAAUUAUUGUUAAAUAAAUAAAUAAAUAAAACUGUACGAGCAUCUGAAUGCAAAAAGCCGUAGAGAAAAAGGGCAAAUUACAAGCAUAUUCUGCUCGAUGAUUAGGGUUUUGAUAUCGGCAACUAAAAGGACUGAUUUCGCUAUCAAAUUUGCGAAUCAGUGACGCUUUGCCUUUUUCUUUAUUCUCUUCUACACAAUCCCUAAAACUUUCAUAGAAGCAAAAGCAAAUGCAAAAGAAUGAUACUGAUACCUUCUGAUUCUUUCAAUUAAGCAGAUAUGCUGCCUGCUCAUUAUUCUGAUCCAACGCAGAAGAAGAGGGGAAGCUUAGAGCUUAUAUAGAGGAGAACUGGAGAUGGGUAUAUGCAUAAAGUAAAACCCUAGUUUUAAAUUUUUCCAAUUUAGAUUUUGAGUUCGGAAUUGCCGAGUAAAACCCAAUUAUUCGGGCUCAAUUGGGCCUGGAAAAUGAAACCUCAACCCUGUUGGAGCCCAUUCUCGAUUAAAACCCCAUGGCAUGACACAGCAUAAACCCUCGCUCAAGAGCCAGCGCAAUUUCUCUCUCUCCAUGUCCAGAAAGAAUCAGAUUCAGAGUGAUCAUGGCAUCACUAGCUUCUUCCAUUUCCAAAGCCCUAACGAAAAGGGUCAGUGCUAAUGUUGUUGUUGGUGGUGGUAGUGGGCCCAUUUCUACCCUGCCAAAACAUUGGGCUCUUUCAUCUUCCUUGCUUUGUACCUUAGCCGCUGCCGUCUCCACCUCCCCUGCGUCUGACGCUCCUUCUACUUCCUUUCCUCAACCUCAAGGAUGUAAUUUGCAAGAAAAAGAGAGGGGCUCGAGAUGGUCCAAAUGGUUG